UUGGCAGACGCUAAUUUAUUGGUCUUACCAAAAUCAAUCGACCGCUCCCUCAAACCUUCCAAUUGUCCUAAAUAAGAAAUAAAAUCCUCUCUUCACCGCUCUCACACUCAAUUCUCUCUCACCUCAAUUAUUUCCUCUGUCUAACCCUUCAUUUUCCUCAUAUCUGGUAUUUCGUUAUUUCUCUCGUUUAGAUCUGGUAUUUGGUUGUGGUUAGGGUUUUUUUUUGGUUAUUUCUCUAAGCAUCAUCGCCGUCUUCAAGCAUCACCGCCUCUUCAUUAUCAGUUGGAGUGAGAAGUAAGAAAGUGUGUUAAAGGAGGAAGAACAGAAUGAUUUACAGAAAGUGGAGUCUGCUGAGCAGCAUUGGGGUAAUAGCUGGUGGCAUCGUCGGUGCGGUUUUCCUCGGCAACCUCCUCUUUGUGAAUGUUAUGAGAUUUGCGUUUGAGUUGCAGAUUUGAAGUUGGUUUUGAUCCAGAUACCAGAUUUAAAGUCUGUUUUGGUUCCAGAUUUUGGUUGUGGAGUUUAAAGUGUACGUGUAAUUAUAUGAGAUUUGUAUUAGAUUUUGUUCUAAGUAUACUAGAAUUUAGUUCUAGAAUUAUUUUUUCACUUGUAAUUACAUUUGUUAUCAAUAAUAAUUGAAUUGAUUAA